rnacentral:misc_RNA from 1 species
GAAACUUCAAACUUUCAGUUGUUUCUAGAAUUCUUUGACAUUGAAAAUAAUCUCAUGCAAUUAAGAGGUAAUGUAGAUUAAUCAAGCCAUACAUGGUCUCUACAAAAAAAUUAAAUGCUUAAUCAUAUUCAUAAUAAUAUUGACUCAGGAUCUACAGCACAUUUCGAUCCAUCAGGCACCGGAUGAAGAGAAGAGACAACAUUACAAUUGGAGGAAAAUAAAUAUAAAAAAUAAAAAGCCUCAAAAUUUAAAAGAGGACUUCAAUUUCACCCAAAAAUAACCUUUGCUAUUUAUUUGAAGGGUUA